rnacentral:lncRNA from 1 species
CUUAUAAAUGGACUUAGUUUUUCCUCCGGUUAACAUUACAAACAGACUGCAGUUAAAGGUUUUUAAACAUUUAUUAGAUUAAUAAACUAUCCUAGAUUUUAACCAAACUUGGACAGAAGCUUCUUACAAUCAAAAGAUAUUUUGAGAGGGAAUUUUUUUAUACUUUUUUUCCUCGUUUCUGUUGAGCCUGCGAUUUACAACAAAAGAAGGCGAGACACUGGGUUCCGCGGAACCCUUACAUAUUUGUCUUCGAAUUUUUGCUUUGAAAUAAGCCAAUUAGUAUUUUCACUUUCGAUGUCAGUAUGCAAACAUUGUCGUGUGUCGGCUGUUGUUGAGAUUUUUUUUGUACAUACACAUUGAGGUAUUUCCUUGAAAAGACCUAUUGAUUUUGUUCUGAUUAUUUUUGUCCCUGCCUCUUUUGCUUCUGAAAUUUUUUUAACAUGCCGUCAAGUUAUUAGGCAAAUGAAAUUGUUGCGCUUUAUAAACUUACCAAUUUCAACAGGAUAUGUUUCGAUUUGGGAGUUAUCUCCCCGUUUACUGUUUUUCUUUAUAUAGCUUUAGUUCUAAAAUUUUAUUUCAAGUAAACCUGCAUACACUUUAAGUUACAAUUGAUCAUUUCUAACCGGAUGAGACAUUUUGUUUAGAU